ACGGACAGCCAUACCACCCUGAACACGCCUGGUCUCAUCUGAUUUUGGAAGCUAAGCAGGGUCGGGCCUGGUUAGUACUUGGAUGGGAGAAAUACCAAAAUCACGAGUCUUCUUGGGAACUAAGUAUCUACUCUUA
ensembl:rRNA 5S_rRNA 5S ribosomal RNA